rnacentral:tRNA from 1 species
GGGGUUGUGACUCAGUGAUAGAGUGCUUGCCUAGCAUGUAUGAGGCACUGGGUUUGAUCCUCAGCACUACA